ACGGAAGGCAGCAGUGGGGAAUAUUGCACAAUGGGGGAAACCCUGAUGCAGCGAUGCCGCGUGGAGGAAGAAGGUUUUCGGAUUGUAAACUCCUGUCUUAAGGGACGAUAAUGACGGUACCUUAGGAGGAAGCUCCGGCUAACUACGUGCCAGCAGCCGCGGUAAUACGUAGGGAGCGAGCGUUGUCCGGAAUUACUGGGUGUAAAGGGAGCGUAGGCGGGAUGGCAAGUCAGAUGUGAAAACUAUGGGCUCAACCCAUAGACUGCAUUUGAAACUGUUGUUCUUGAGUGAAGUAGAGGUAAGCGGAAUUCCUAGUGUAGCGGUGAAAUGCGUAGAUAUUAGGAGGAACACCGGUGGCGAAGGCGGCUUGCUGGGCUUUUACUGACGCUGAGGCUCGAAAGCGUGGGUAGCAAACAGGAUUAGAUACCCUGGUA
rnacentral:rRNA from 1 species